GCCGGGCACGGUGGCUUGUGCCUGUAAUCCAAGCGCCGGGGAGGCUGAGGCUGGCGGACGGCUUGAGCCUGGGGGUUCUGGGCUGCAGCGAGCUGUGCUGAGCGGGCGUCCGCGCUAAGUUCAGCAUCGAUAUGGUGGUCCUGGGGGAGCCGGGGGCCACCAGGUCGCCUAAGGAGGGGUGAACCGGCCCAGGUCGGAGACGGAGCAGGUCAAAACUCCUGUGCUGAUCAGUAGCGGGAUGGCGCCUGUGAACAGUCCCUGUAGCACAGCCCGGGCGAGAGAGCGGGACCCAGUUUCCU
rnacentral:SRP_RNA from 1 species